GAAUAAAUGAUGUAGAUAAAAAUCAUUAAUAAAACAAUCAGAUGUGUUCAGGUGUUAAAUGUGUAGCUCAACAUUACUAUGUCCUGAUCAAUGAGCUUUGCCCUAAACUGAGUAGAGUGACUUUGUCAUUGUGUUAUUGUGCUCAUCCCAACAGGAUGCAGGUUAAAGACUGGAAAAUACACAAAGUGAAAAACAGCUCUCAUAAAUAUCAUUGACAACGUGCUGCUACUUCAAUAAAGAUGUAGUGACUUCACCUCUUAAACUCUGCCAGCUCCACCAGUGGCUCCAUCAUCACUAACUCAUGUUGUGCAGCCAAACACAAAUCACUUAUUUAAAGAAUCAUGAGGGUAAAUUUAAGUUGAAAUCAAGUCUUUAAAGCAGGGCUGUUCAAUUACAAAUUCAACUGGGCCGGAUUUUAAACCAGAAAAUGUUGAUUGGCUUUUUUGUUUUAGCUAUUGGUGAUGACACAUUUCUAAACAGGUGCAAAUUACUGUAGUAAAAGUAGCAAUGUUUUUAGUGUCACAUUUGAAAUAAUUAAAAAAAAAAAAAGUAAUCGCAUAUCUGACAGAGGAACAUCACAUAAUGCAGAAACAGAAUAAAGAAGAGCUGUCAAUGCACAGAAGCAUAACAAGUGACAUUAACAGUAACUAAUAACACACUCUAUCUCUCUACCACACACACACACACACACACACACACACACACACACACUUCCUGACGUUUAGCUUUAAGGUCAAGUGUUUAUGAAAAUACACAGGAUAUAGUUUUAUACAGUCUAUGGCAGCAACAGUCAUGUUUACAACAACAAAGUCACUAUAUAAACUCAAUAAUAUUUCCCGACUCGAAUCACACAACGAGGCAGUCACGUGAUUCCAGAGAAACGGGGCCUCGUUUGUCUUUGGUCACGUGAUAUCCUGAAAAACAAUACGGGCUUCGACACGGGCUUCAUUUGGACACGCCCCCUUUGCUCGACACAGGCCUCGGAACUGCAGUAUCAGCUGUAACAUCACUAGUGACGGGAAAGCUAGUAUCAGCAUUGCUUCUGCCUGGAGCUCGCAUGUAUGGAGCCUGGGUUUGGUUGAAGAUGGCAGUGCUGUUUGGGCUGAGAAAGCCAUGUGUAAGUAAGGAGGAAAUCCAGGAAGAGGAAGGUUAUUUAAGUGUGGGAGUGGCCUAUCUGAAUCCAUUUUGUUUGAGACCAUGCUGCAAAGUGAGUGUGUUUGCUGAUCCUGUGAGUUCAUUUAGCUCCUUUUAACUUUAGCUUACAUUGUAGUUAUGCUGUGUAGCGUGUGAAAUAGAGUAUGGUGAAUGUGCUAGUAAAGGUAGUAUCAGCAUUGCUUCUGCCUGGAGCUCGCAUAAACGGAGCCUGGGUUUGGUUGAAGGUGGCAGUGCUGUUUGGGCUGAGAUCACUGUCUAGCCUCCUGGAGGUGUCAUUAUUGUGAGGGCUCGUCUUGGGGAGGUCGACUGUACAGCCUAACCCGGCGGGGGAGUGUGAUAGCCUAACAAGGCUUCCUUCCCUGGGUCUACCUCCUCUGUGGUAGUAUAGGUAAGGUAAAGGAGGUUGUUCGGUUAGUGUGGGGAGCAGUGAGACCUGGCAUUAGGGGAGUGUCUCUGGGACGCCAGAGAUCACUGUCUAGCCUCCUGGAGGUGUCGUGGGACCAACUAGACGAAACACUGGUGAAAGGAGGUUCCCACCCGAUGACCCCAAAGACGUGUUAGUUAUCACCGCUCACUGGUCUGUAUAGUUAAGCCUUGCCAUAAUAGCUUGUCGUAGGGCUUAGGAGGUUAUUCACUGAGUGCUGAUCCCUUUUUUUUUUUUUCAGAGCACAAACUUCUUGUGUUUAUUAAAUGAAUUCAGAGUCUCGAUACCAAUCCCUACCCAGCCACUCUGAGGUUGCUUCUGGUCCUGAUAUAGCCUGCAGGCCGCCAACUGAAUAGGCCUGCUUUAAAGGUUAGGACUGAAUUUUCAACUCACUUUUUCUACUUCAAUUAAAGUUAUACUAUGCAGGAUUGUUGCUUACAGUUUGUAAACACACUUGCUAGUGAAAGGGAAAGUAAAAGCCAACCCCAGAUUCAUUCUUGUUUGGCAUUACUUCUCACUAUAUUUGUGUUUUCAGGUGUUGUAUCUCUUUGAUUCCUGCUGCUUACAGUCUGGCAUCUGGUCCCCACCUUUUUAUAAAGCCCUGAGCUCACCUAACACAGGCAGAGGGCAGAGUCUCUGCAGAUAAAUACACCACCACACACUGAGAGUGGCUCAUAAGCAAGGGCGGACUGGCCAUCGGGAGUACCGGGAGAUUUCCCAGUGGGCCGCUGGGUCAGUGUGGGCCGGUACAGCCGGAGGAAAAAAAAACAAAAAAACUUUAGGCGCAGUUGGGCUGGCCUUUAAUAUGAUAACCAAUGUUCACAGUUUCUCUAGUAGUGUUUGGCUCAUCAUCUUUGGCCCAUGUGGGUGUGUCACACCCCUUUCACCUCGUCGUUGAGCUGUUGGCCAAUCACAGCCGAGGGCUGAGGGCCACGGGCUGUCCCGUCCUCCUUCUGCAUCAAUCAAUCAAUCAAUCAAUCAAUCAGAAGUCAAGGAGAAGAUUAGGGAAAAAAGAGACAGGCAUUGCUGCAAAUGCUGCAAAAUGUCAGAAACUGACAACCCUGUUUUCUGCUGCUGGACCAUCCUCUGCAGCAUCAGCAGCAGCACCUGUGGCGGCAGCUCUGGCGUGUGACCAGGUGGGAGAUGCAACUCAGGUAAGGCGGCUGUAAUGGGAUCAUUUUUUUGCUAGCUUGCUAACUUUUAGCACAGCGCGUGUAGUUUGCUUUUUGCUGUCAGAACGUCAUUACUGUGUACAGACUAGAGCCAGACAGGGCUCAGUGGCAUUAGUCAACAUGGUUAAGUAGUUCAUAAAGUAACGUUAGUAACAUCUGAUCUAUCAUUAUCUCUUGUGUAUUCCCCUUAAAGCUGCUGAGGUAAAUGCAGCUCUGCUGUCUUAAUUACUUUGCUAAUUCAUCAACAUUAAAAUGUCAUUUUUUCCUUUUUGUGUGGGCAUUGCUGGACAAUAUAUAGAAAUUGAGACAGUCUAGUACAUGCACUGCCAAGGGGAAAAUGUAAUGCAUUGUUCUUAGUGUAUUAUUCGCAGUCAGAUUAUAAAACUUGGACUUUUUCACUAUUUAAGAGCAUUUGAUUGUGCUUAUCUGAGGCACCAUCUAUAGGUUAAUGUGUUCAACAUUUUUCUAUACAACAUAAAUGAAAUUUAAAUAUUCUGACAGUAAUGUUCCUGCAUAUUUCAAAUAUUAAAUAUCAAACAACAUGAUGUAGCAAAAUGUUCCUCAAUACAUGGAAGUGAACUUUGACAUUUCAAGUACAUUUACUAUAUGUUAACAGUUAGUAGGGCUACAGAAUAAUAUGUUCUCUCAAGCCUACAUGAAAUAAACUUAAUGCUCACUCAGAUUAUGUGUUCUGUUAGUGUAUACUUUUCAACAUCUUCUCCUUUCACAACACUUGGAAUGUUUUGGAUGAAUUAAAGCCUCUUUCUUUUAGAAGCAUUCAGAAGAGACCAUCACAGCCUUUUACUAACCUUUACUAAACCUGGUUUAGGGAGGGACCAUUGUGUACUUGGGAAUGAUACACAUAUAGUACAUUACAUUACACAGUGCACUUUUUCACCUGUGUUUACUUAUCAAUCAAAACACUAUUUUUCCAUUACCUAUAUUACUGUUUAUUGUAAUGCAGCUUUUUUUCACCUCUUCUUUUGGGAAUUGCCCAAAACUUCAACCUAAUGUCUCUCUUCACAUCUCCUGCCAGGUUGAGUCACCAUCCCCACAGAAGGACUGUGGCAGGGAGGGAGAGGAGAGCAGCCUGGUCGUACUAGUCCAGGUAAAGCCAUAUUCAUACAUAGCAUUUUUUAAUUCAUCUAGAGUAAUGAAUUAAACAUUCAUUAAAAAGUGCUUAACACCAUAAUAGUGUACUACUAUUAAAUUCUACCAUUUUAACAUUUCACUGAUAGUGUUGUUUAAGUGCUUUACUAACAUAAACAAUCUCUUAUCUACACUGAAGAUGAUCAUGCAUCCACCGCCAGCAUCCCCGCCCCGAUCCCUGGAGAGUGGACCGGUCAGGUACCAAAUUCCCAGGCUGCUUUUUUGCCCCAGUCCGCCCCUGCUCAUAAGUGAUGAUUGAGAGGGAUUAUUUCUGUAUGAGUCUAUACACUGUUUUUAAGGAAGAUCCUGCAGAGUUUAUCUUUAAGGUUUUAGCUCCACAUUGCUCUGCCACAGUCAAUGGAUUAAACCACUGAACAAGACAAAUAGACUUCAUUGUGGAUCAGUAUAAUAUCAGCCUGAUGUCUGCAGUUUAGUGUCAGCACAACUUUCACAUCAUAAUAAUCUCAGCACAGGAGUAAAAAAUGGUGUCUGACCUCAGAGACUCCAGUUUACAGUGUGGACUCUCCAGAAAACCACACAGCUGCUUCACUCCUGAAUCCUGCAGGUUGUUGUUACUCAGCUGCAGCUCUCUCAGAUGGGGGGACUUCACAGCUGAGGCCAGAUAAACACAGCU